rnacentral:pre_miRNA from 14 species
CGUCUGGGCGCCCCGACGCGCGACAGCGGGCAACGGAAUCCCAAAAGCAGCUGUCUUCCGCUCGGCACCUCAGCUGCGCUUGGAUUUCGUUCCCUGCUCUCCCGCCCGUGCUCCCCCGCCCAGG